GUGAACCUACGGGACGCAGCAGUAGGGAAUCUUCCACAAUGGACGAAAGUCUGAUGGAGCAACGCCGCGUGAGUGAAGAAGGGUUUCGGCUCGUAAAGCUCUGUUGGUAGUGAAGAAAGAUAGAGGUAGUAACUGGCCUUUAUUUGACGGUAAUUACUUAGAAAGUCAUGGCUAACUACGUGCCAGUAGCCGCGGUAAUACGUAGGUGGCAAGCGUUGUCCGGAUUUAUUGGGCGUAAAGCGAGUGCAGGCGGUUCAAUAAGUCU
rnacentral:rRNA from 1 species